rnacentral:rRNA from 1 species
GAUGAACGCUGGCGGCGUGCCUAAUACAUGCAAGUCGAGCGAACAGACGAGGAGCUUGCUCCUCUGACGUGAGCGGCGGACGGGUGAGUAACACGUGGAUAACCUACCUAUAAGACUGGGAUAACUUCGGGAAACCGGAGCUAAUACCGUAUAAUAUAUUGAACCGCAUGGUUCAAUAGUGAAAGACGGUUUUGCUGUCACGUAUAGAUGGAUCCGCGCCGCAUGAGAUAGUUGGUAAGGUAACGGCUUACCAAGGCAACGAUGCGUAGCCGACCUGAGAGGGUGAUAGGCCACACGGGAAGUGAGACACGGUCCAGACUACUAAGGGAGGCAGCAGUAGGGAAUCGGACGCAAUGGGCGAAAGCCUGACGGAGCAACGCGGAGUGAGUGAUGAAGGUCUUCGGAGCGUAAAACUCUGUUAUUAGGGAAGAACAAAUGUGUAAGUAACUAUGCACGGCUUGACGGUAACUAAUAAGAAAGCCACGGCUAACUACGUG